CGCAGACUUCAUCAUUUGUAGGCUUCUUUGUUUUCUCGUCCAGCUCCAAUAUCAGGCUGAACAUUUCAUCGAGAAUAAGAAGCAGCAGGAAGAUCAUGGACACAAGAGGUGAGAGGAGGAGGAGAAGGGCGCCCUGAGUGUUGAAGUUUGGCUGUGCAGCUCCAUGGAGCUCCAUCAAACACAGAGCCUGCUGCAACAUUUGACUAGAAAGUAUCGCUGUAAACAAACGAACAAAUAAAUGGAUGCUAUCAGGGUAAGGAUGUCUCUGAUACGGAAGUGCUUC